rnacentral:tRNA from 1 species
GUUUUUAUAGUUUAAAAAAAAACAUUGAUUUUGUAAAUCAAUAUUAGAAAUUUUCUUAAAAACU